GGCCCAUCUUCACCACCUUAAUUUGCAAUAAUCUCUUGUUUCAUCUAAUGGUUGUUAAUCUAAUAUAAUGCCCAUACCUUUCUAUUCUAUCCUCAUUGCUCUGUUUGUCCUCAGGAGCAUAGCAAACUAGGAAUGGAUAGGAGCACAGCAGAUGUUAGAAUCCAUACCUGUGUAAUCUCUGGGGCUGGUCCAGGGUGGGAACUGACCAGAACUAACCAGAUGUCCAAGGGCCAGAGAUCAGAAUCACAUCCAAGAGCAAGGAAGCAAACAAAACCAUGACUUGUGCAGGUCGUGGAGGUGCAAACGCUUGGAGAAAAGUCUGGAAGAACACAAACUCUGGGCUAAGGCCAGGCCUAACAGGCUAAGUAGUGCAAUGAAAAUAAUCACACAAAUUGACUAGAUAAUACAACUGAAACAAGCAACUGUAGAAAUUCGCAGUAGGAAGGAAAUUUAGAUGUCAUUUAAUUUAUUAUUUCUUAUUUAUUUAUAACUGGAAGAAAUAUUCUUCAAACAAAACCUUAUGAGGAACAGAACCAUAGCUCCUGAAACUGUGUGAAAGCAAGAGAAAGAGAGUCUUUUGUCAAUAGUCUGUCCACACAUAUCCAGACCCAACCCAAAGUUACAACCUGACCUCCACGAUCACUUUCCCUCACAGGGACCGCACUAUGAGGAACACGCCAAAGUUGAGAAAGGGUAAGAUUCUUGCCCAACCUCAAGACCAGUGCUAUUCUCUUCACGCCAAGGCAGGAAGAUCACUGAAGCCCAGAAGUUCGAGGCUAAAAUGAGCUAUGAUUGUGCCAACGCACUUCAUCCUAGGCAACAUAGCAAAACCCUAUCUCUAAAAUAUAAACAAGUAAAAUAAAUUUAAAAAUAAUUGUGGCGUGUGGCAAUUAUUGAUAAUGCCUCAUAGCCCCAAAUUCAUCCCUGGUUGCCUUCCCUGUGAAAAUAAAUCUAGGCCCUUCACCUUUAUUUUUUUCUUUUUUGGCUAUCAUGAUGCUAAACUUAUCAGUAGAGGGCAAUACAAAGACAUUUCAAGAAGGCAGAGGCUUCCCUCCUGGUAGUGCACUUUUUCCCCACUGUCUAUUCCACGUGGUUUUCACCAUUGUCAAGGGCUUAGAGGGUACAGCUUUCACAGUGUGUUUUCUACAGUUCUUGACUCAGGAAACAAUGGCAUAGUGGAAGCCCCAGAAAAAUCUGACCUGUGCGCUAGCCCUGUUAACUGCUGCCCACAACCCUGAGUGAUAUGAAUGUAAGGGGUACUGUGGAGCUGAUAAUCAGCAAGCUUGUGGCAUGACCUCCAUCCUGUGUAGCCCAGAGCCACCCUACCCAAGCCACAAAUAGAAAAGCUCUGGGUUUUGAUGCUGACUCUCUAUGGUCCCACUUCUUAGCCUAAGAUCACCUGUGCCCUAGAGAGUUGUACCUACUUCGCCUGGUGACUGUGGACCAGCUCUGCAGGAAGCAAUUUACCAAAUGUCUCUGCGAUCCAGUGGUCAGCAAUUACACCUUCUUCAGUGUGGUCAUAGCCUCUUUCCAAAUUUGUCCUUCCUUAACUACUCUCCCUGUUUUCAUGUUUAUAGUUGUUCUCUUAUCAUUGUUUAAUAAUUUUUAUGUUAAAUUUCCCAUGUUUAAAUUACUAAGUCGAUAUUGUCUCUUGAUUGUACCCAG
rnacentral:lncRNA from 10 species